rnacentral:rRNA from 1 species
GAUGAACGCUGGCGGCGUGCCUAAUACAUGCAAGUCGAGCGAACAGACGAGGAGCUUGCUCCUUCGACGUUAGCGGCGGACGGGUGAGUAACACGUAGGUAACCUACCUAUAAGACUGGGAUAACUUCGGGAAACCGGAGCUAAUACCGGAUAAUAUUUCGAACCGCAUGGUUCGAUAGUGAAAGAUGGCUUUGCUAUCACUUAUAGAUGGACCUGCGCCGUAUUAGCUAGUUGGUAAGGUAACGGCUUACCAAGGCAACGAUACGUAGCCGACCUGAGAGGGUGAUCGGCCACACUGGAACUGAGACACGGUCCAGACUCCUACGGGAGGCAGCAGUAGGGAAUCUUCCGCAAUGGGCGAAAGCCUGACGGAGCAACGCCGCGUGAGUGAUGAAGGUCUUCGGAUCGUAAAACUCUGUUAUUAGGGAAGAACAAACGUGUAAGUAACUGCGCACGUCUUGACGGUACCUAAUCAGAAAGCCGCGGCUAACUACGUG